rnacentral:rRNA from 1 species
UGAAGAGUUUGAUCAUGGCUCAGAUUGAACGCUGGCGGCAGGCUUAACACAUGCAAGUCGAACGAUGAUUAUCUAGCUUGCUAGAUAUGAUUAGUGGCGGACGGGUGAGUAACAUUUAGGAAUCUGCCUAGUAGUGGGGGAUAGCUCGGGGAAACUCGAAUUAAUACCGCAUACGACCUACGGGUGAAAGGGGGCGCAAGCUCUUGCUAUUAGAUGAGCCUAAAUCAGAUUAGCUAGUUGGUGGGGUAAAGGCCCACCAAGGCGACGAUCUGUAACUGGUCUGAGAGGAUGAUCAGUCACACCGGAACUGAGACACGGUCCGGACUCCUACGGGAGGCAGCAGUGGGGAAUAUUGGACAAUGGGCGAAAGCCUGAUCCAGCCAUGCCGCGUGUGUGAAGAAGGUCUUCGGAUUGUAAAGCACUUUAAGUUGGGAGGAAGGGCAGUAAAUUAAUACUUUGCUGUUUUGACGUUACCGACAGAAUAAGCACCGGCUAACUCUGUGCCAGCAGCCGCGGUAAUACAGAGGGUGCGAGCGUUAAUCGGAAUUACUGGGCGUAAAGCGAGUGUAGGUGGCUCAUUAAGUCACAUGUGAAAUCCCCGGGCUUAACCUGGGAACUGCAUGUGAUACUGGUGGUGCUAGAAUAUGUGAGAGGGAAGUAGAAUUCCAGGUGUAGCGGUGAAAUGCGUAGAGAUCUGGAGGAAUACCGAUGGCGAAGGCAGCUUCCUGGCAUAAUAUUGACACUGAGAUUCGAAAGCGUGGGUAGCAAACAGGAUUAGAUACCCUGGUAGUCCACGCCGUAAACGAUGUCUACUAGCCGUUGGGGUCCUUGAGACUUUAGUGGCGCAGUUAACGCGAUAAGUAGACCGCCUGGGGAGUACGGUCGCAAGAUUAAAACUCAAAGGAAUUGACGGGGGCCCGCACAAGCGGUGGAGCAUGC